rnacentral:rRNA from 1 species
UACGGAGGAUGCGAGCGUUAUCCGGAUUUAUUGGGUUUAAAGGGUGCGUAGGCGGAUCGUUAAGUCAGUGGUCAAAUUGAGGGGCUCAACCCCUUCCCGCCAUUGAAACUGGCGAUCUUGAGUGGAAGAGAAGUAUGCGGAAUGCGUGAUGUAGCGGUGAAAUGCAUAGAUAUCACGCAGAACCCCGAUUGCGAAGGCAGCAUGCCGGCUUCCUACUGACGCUGAAGCACGAAAGCGUGGGGAUCGAACAGG